CCACGUAGGGAGCGAGCGUUGUCCGGAAUUACUGGGUGUAAAGGGAGCGUAGGCGGGAUCGCAAGUCAGAUGUGAAAUACAUGGGCUUAACCCAUGGGCUGCAUUUGAAACUGUGGUUCUUGAGUGAAGUAGAGGUAAGCGGAAUUCCUGGUGUAGCGGUGAAAUGCGUAGAUAUCAGGAGGAACACCGGUGGCGAAGGCGGCUUACUGGGCUUUUACUGACGCUGAGGCUCGAAAGCGUGGGGAGCAAACAGGAUUAGAUACCCUGGUAGUCCACGCUGUAAACGAUGAUUACUAGGUGUGGGGGGACUGACCCCUUCCGUGCCGCAGUUAACACAAUAAGUAAUCCACCUGGGGAGUACGGCCGCAAGGUUGAAACUCAAAUGAAUUGACGGGG
rnacentral:rRNA from 1 species